rnacentral:rRNA from 1 species
CAGCUACUAGAUGGUUCGAUUAGUCUUUCGCCCCUAUACCCAAAUUUUACGAUCGAUUUGCACGUCAGAACCGCUACGAGCUUCCACCAGAGUUUCCCCUGGCUUCACCCUAUUCAGGCAUAGUUCACCAUCUUUCGGGUCCCAACAUAUAUGCUCUUACUCAAAUCCGUCAUUAUAAAAAUUCAAGAUCGGUCGAUGGUGCAUCCGAAGAGUCCCACCUUAAAGGUCACUUUCAUUUCGCCCAUGGGUUUUCACACCCAAAGACUCGCAUACAUGUUAGACUCCUUGGUCCGUGUUUCAAGACGGGUGGUAGAGAGCCAUUAAGCCAACAUCCUAUGUGCAAAGGUGCCCGAAGGCCCGCCCCGAAGGGUGCACUGCGUUCCUCGAUCCCAGCCACCGUACCAAGUGCAAGGCUAUAACACACCCCCCGAAGAGGAUGCCACAUUCCUUACACUCAUAUCCGGCAGCCAAAAUCGAUGUUGGCCUGCCCAAACGGAAAUACACCCAACCUCGAAAGGUCAAGCUGAAUCCGCAGAGGCAUGUCUGACUUCCUACCCUUCCCUUCCGGCAAUUUCACGUACUGUUUAACUCUCUUUCCAAAGUUCUUUUCAUCUUUCCCUCACGGUACUUGUUCGCUAUCGGUCUCUCCUCUAUAUUUAGCCUUAGAUGGCAUUUACCACCCAUUUUGAGCUGCAUUCCCAAACAACUCGACUCUUGGAGAGCAAAUCACAAAGCCCCGGGGGUUCCAGACUAUGAAAGGGACUAUCACCCUCUAAGGUACCUUAUUCCAAAGGAUUUAAAGCCUGGUCCGGCGCGGAUAAUGCUUCUCGAGUUUACAAUGCGGACACCGAAGGUGCCAGCUUUCAAACUUGGGCUCUUCCCUCUUCACUCGCCGUUACUAGGGGAAUCCUUGUUAGUUUCUUUUCCUCCGCUUAUUGAUAUGCUUAAGUUCAGCGGGUAGUCCUACCUGUCUGAGGCCAGAUGUCAAAUAGUGCAGAGCGCGAUCCUUGACAGGACCGGCUCCCUUGGUUAGAAGCGAAAGACGCUAUCCGGCACAUCCGCUCUUGGUAAUUUCUGAAUUUCGUAGAGGUAGACCACCAGCAAGACAAUUAUCACGCUGACAGUCCGCCCCACUACUUUAAAGAAAGAGCAGGCGACCAUAUGGAAAGGUGCUUCCAGCUAAUGCAUUUAGAGCGAGCCCCUUUGACAGGGCAGGCGCUCAAGACUAAACCCAGGCAGGUCUUAAUGAAAAAACCCGAGGUUUAAAGGUUGCUCGUGACACUCAAACAGGCAUGCCCUAAGGAAUACCAAAGGGCGCAAGAUGCGUUCAAAGAUUCGAUGAUUCACUGACUUCUGCAAUUCACAAUUACUUAUCGCAAUUCGCUGCGUUCUUCAUCGAUAGGAGAACCUAGAGAUCCGUUGCCGAAAGUUGUAUUUAACUUUCACCUUCCUUCGAAGGAUUUUUGUAAACAUUCAAUGAUCUACUUUGCGUUUGGUGAAAAAAAUUCAUAGGUGCACAGGUGUGUUUGGUUUGUGGAUCGCAGCUCUAGGCCCGAGUGAACGGAGCCCAGAGGCUGCUGAGUUUUACAACAAUGAUCCUUCUGCAGGUUCACCUACAGAAACCUUGUUACGACUUUUACUUCCUCUAAACGACCAAAUUUGAACAAGUUUUCAGCUUUCAGGUGCCGUUGCCAGCUCCCGAAUACCAAUCCCAAGUCCUCAUUAAGCCGUUCAAUCGGUAGUAGCGACGGGCGGUGUGUACAAAGGGCAGGGACGUAAUCAACGCAAGCUGAUGACUUACGCUUACUAGGAAUUCCUCGUUCAAGAGCAAUAAUUGCAAUGCUCUAUCCCCAGCACGACAAAGUUUCACAAGAUUACCCAACCCUUCCGGGCAAGGAAAAAUACUCGCUGGCUCUGUCAGUGUAGCGCGCGUGCGGCCCAGAACAUCUAAGGGCAUCACAGACCUGUUUUUGCCUCGUGCUUCCUUGAGCUUAAAGCUCAAAGUCCCUCUAAGCGGACCAAUUCCUAUUGCUAGGUGCCAACCCGAAGGUCGACCGGUCCAAUUAGCAGGCCAAGGUCUCGUUCGUUAUCGGAAUUAACCAGACAAAUCACUUCACCAACUAAGAACGGCCAUGCACCACCACCCAUAAAAUCAUGAAAGCGCUAUCAAUCUGUCAAUCCUUCUUAUGUCUGGACCUGGUGAGUUUCCCCGUGUUGAGUCAAAUUAAGCCGCAGGCUCCACUCCUGGUGGUGCCCUUCCGUCAAUUUCUUUAAGUUUCAGCCUUGCGACCAUACUCCCCCCAGAACCCAAAUGCUUUGAUUUCU